UACGGGGGAGCAAGCGUUGUUCGGAUUUACUGGGCGUAAAGGGCGCGGUAGGCGGUCGUGACAAGUCACUUGUGAAAUCUCCGGGCUUAACUCGGAAACCGGUCAAGUCGAUACUGUCGGACUAGAGUACAGAAGGGGCAACUGGGAAUUCUCGGUGUAGCGGUGAAAUGCGUAGAUAUCGAGGGGAACACCUGCGGCGAAGGCGGUUGCUGGCUGAUACUGACGCUGGAGGCGACGAAAGCCAGGGGAGCGAACGGG
rnacentral:rRNA from 1 species